GACGAACGCUGGCGGCGUGCUUAACACAUGCAAGUCGAACGGAAAGGCCCUGCUUUUGUGGGGUGCUCGAGUGGCGAACGGGUGAGUAACACGUGAGUAACCUGCCCUUGACUUUGGGAUAACUUCAGGAAACUGGGGCUAAUACCGGAUAGGAGCUCCUGCUGCAUGGUGGGGGUUGGAAAGUUUCGGCGGUUGGGGAUGGACUCGCGGCUUAUCAGCUUGUAGGUGGGGUAGUGGCUUACCAAGGCUUUGACGGGUAGCCGGCCUGAGAGGGUGACCGGCCACAUUGGGACUGAGAUACGGCCCAGACUCCUACGGGAGGCAGCAGUGGGGAAUAUUGCACAAUGGGCGGAAGCCUGAUGCAGCAACGCCGCGUGCGGGAUGACGGCCUUCGGGUUGUAAACCGCUUUCGCCUGUGACGAAGCGUGAGUGACGGUAAUGGGUAAAGAAGCACCGGCUAACUACGU
rnacentral:rRNA from 1 species